rnacentral:rRNA from 1 species
CCCUACGGGAGGCAGCAGUGGGGAAUAUUGCACAAUGGGGGAAACCCUGAUGCAGCAACGCCGCGUGAAGGAAGACGGUUUUCGGAUUGUAAACUUCUGUUCUUAGUGAAGAAAAAUGACGGUAGCUAAGGAGCAAGCCACGGCUAACUACGUGCCAGCAGCCGCGGUAAUACGUAGGUGGCAAGCGUUGUCCGGAAUUACUGGGUGUAAAGGGAGCGCAGGCGGGAAGCCAAGUCAGCUGUGAAAACUACGGGCUUAACCGGUAUAGGCUCUG